rnacentral:lncRNA from 1 species
GCUUCCAAAUUCAUUACACUCCUUCAGUGUGUUUCCUUCAAUUAGCUUAUGCUUUUUUUUCAUCUUCUUUCCUUGGUUAUCAUCUUCACAUCCAUUGCUUUCGAACUCCUUAUGUUUUCUUUCUUCACUUAGUUUCUUCUUCUUUUUCUUCACCUUUUUGUAUUGCUUGCCAUCUUCAUCUACAUUGCUCCUAAAGUCAUUACACUCCUUCGGUGUGUUUCCUUCAAUUAGCAUUUGCUUCUUUUUUAUCUGCUUUCCUUGGUUAUGAUCUUCACAUUCGUUGCUUUUCAACUCCUUAUACUCCUUAUCUUUGCUUUCUUCACUCGGUUUCUUCUUUUUAUUUUUCUUCUUGCCCUGCUUGCCAUCUUCACUUUUAUUGCUUUCGACCAAAUGUUGAUUGUAAUUAC